CCUACGGGCGGCUGCAGUGGGGAAUAUUGGACAAUGGGGGGAACCCUGAUCCAGCCAUGGCGCGUGUGUGAAGAAGGCCCUCGGGUUGUAAAGCACUUUCAGUGAGGAAGAACGCCUGGUGGUUAAUACCCAUCAGGAAAGACAUCACUCACAGAAGAAGCACCGGCUAACUCCGUGCCAGCAGCCGCGGUAAUACGGAGGGUGCGAGCGUUAAUCGGAAUUACUGGGCGUAAAGCGCGCGUAGGUGGCUUGAUAAGCCGGUUGUGAAAGCCCCGGGCUCAACCUGGGAACGGCAUCCGGAACUGUCAAGCUAGAGUGCAGGAGAGGAAGGUAGAAUUCCCGGUGUAGCGGUGAAAUGCGUAGAGAUCGGGAGGAAUACCAGUGGCGAAGGCGGCCUUCUGGACUGACACUGACACUGAGGUGCGAAAGCGUGGGUAGCAAACAGGAUUAGAUACCCUAGUAGUC
rnacentral:rRNA from 1 species